CCUACGGGCGGCAGCAGUGAGGAAUAUUGGUCAAUGGGCGCGAGCCUGAACCAGCCAAGUAGCGUGAAGGAUGACUGCCCUACGGGUUGUAAACCUCUUUUAUAAAGGAAUAAAGUGAGGCACGCGUGCCUCUUCGCAUGUACUUUAUGAAUAAGGAUCGGCUAACUCCGUGCCAGCAGCCGCGGUAAUACGGAGGAUCCGAGCGUUAUCCGGAUUUAUUGGGUUUAAAGGGAGCGUAGAUGGGUUGUUAAGUCAGUUGUGAAAGUUUGCGGCUCAACCGUAAAAUUGCAAUUGAUACUGGCAGCCUUGAGUACGGUUGAGGUAGGCGGAAUGCGUGGUGUAGCGGUGAAAUGCUUAGAUAUCACGAAGAACUCCGAUUGCGAAGGCAGCCUGCUAAGCUGCCACUGACAUUGAUGCUCGAAAGUGUGGGUAUCGAACAGGAUUAGAUACCCGUGUAGUC
rnacentral:rRNA from 1 species